AAUGUGUCUGCAGCCGUGCCACCCUGAACGUGCUGAUCCCGUCUGAUCUCAGAAGCUAAGCAGGGUCGGGCCUGGUUAGUACUUGGA
rnacentral:miRNA from 1 species